CCAAAGGCUCUUUUCAGAGCCACUUCCCGUUUUCACUGAGAGUGGCU
rfam:Mustela putorius furo unplaced genomic scaffold scaffold00400, whole genome shotgun sequence.